rnacentral:rRNA from 1 species
GCACACAAAGCUGAUGUCCCUUUCUUGAAUACCCCAAUUGAACACUAGCAUGCUAUGGCAACCAUCUUUGGGACAACCGCGGCUUCGGGGAUGAAUGCUAGGUCUGGGAAUGAUCUGCACUCUAUUGAUGUGGAAGAUGAGGAGAAUAGUGAGGUGAACACAUCACCAAAUGUUGCUGAAUCCUCUCACCCCAAAGGACCACCAAAAAAGAAGGCCAAGGUAGUGAAAGUUCUUGAAGAUCCACUAGUUACCACUCUCAAUUAUGUGUUCAAACUUGUGGUUGAUGCUCUUAUCAAGUCUGAGGAUGAUGAUGAUAUACCCGCUGAACUUUGGGAUGAGGUCUGCAAGUUGGGAGAAUUUGAUGAAGAGCACCUAGCCCACUACUAUGCUCAUCUUGUUGACAAUCCGAAGAUCGCAAAAGCCUUCAUGACACUUUCCCAAACCAACAAAUCUGUUUGGGUGAGUAGGUACGUGAAGAACUUCUAA